ensembl:lncRNA
UCACGCUUGGCCAUUUUUCCUGCUUCUAACACAUCAUCUUUGAGGACAAAACAAUCACUUGAUCCCUAAUAUGUCUCGCCUAACACGUGCCACCAUGAAGAGACGAUUGGUGUUUGUCAUUUCACCAAUCAGUGGUCAUAAUGUUUUGGCUGAUCGGUGCAUAACACGAAUUGGCAUUUCAUUUGUUCAGUACUCUGGUAAUAGCAGUUUUAUGCAGUUUAAAGGAAAGUUCUCUACAUGUAACUUUGUGCCUGUGAACACUCAAAUUAAAGUUGGUCUUCUCUCCACAUUCGUUUAGAUAAGCGCUUCAAAAUAACUACACUGAGGCAUUGCCAAAACGGCUGCCAAAUGGCAAAACUCAACUUCUAGGUGUCAUGGUCUGGUUGGGCACCUGCAGGUCUCAGACAGCGGCUCCUCCUCCUUUAGGCGGAGUCCGGUUGCCCCUCCCUGGCUGACCACCUGUGAGCAAUCGUGCCAGCGGUAUAUCAGACCUGCGCUCUCAACCACUCAUCGCCUGAGUAUCUGCUAUUCCCAUCGAUAGCACCCGGAGUGGAGAUCUUGUUCCCCUCGCUCCCGCCCUCCUGGACCUGGGCCGCCAGCUGCUCACACAACGUGGCCUGCCGGCCCACGGCUCACCUGCCUGCCUCCCCACGCCUCGACCGCUUCCGGGUUUUCCGCUCCACCUGUCCCCUCCAUCUGAAACCAAUGCCCCCGGCCCCUACCUAGUCCUGUUUCUACCUCCCC